GAAACGCGAUAGUUAAUGUGAAUUGCAGAAUUCAGUGAAUCAUCGAGUCUUUGAACGCACAUUGCGCCCAUAGGUAUUCCUUUGGGCAUGUCUGUUUGAGCGUCAUUACAACCCUCAGCUAACCGCUGGUUUUGAACCUGAACGGGUGACACCGCGCCGGUUUUAAAGUUGUAAGCUCUGCUGGCCGCUCUGCCCAACCAGAACAUAGUAAGCACUACUUGUCCGGGUGAAGCUGAACGGUACGGCCUGAACAAAACCUACCCACUCUCAAGGUUUGACCUCAGAUCAGACAAAGAUACCCGCUGAACAUAAGC
rnacentral:misc_RNA from 1 species